UCCUUCCUGAAGCUGCUUGCUCCCAAUAGAAGAGGACCCAUCUUCAGUCAAUGGUAUACAAGUAACUGUGCUCCUUUGCUAGAACCUCCAAACAAGCUCUUGCAGUCCAUUUGAUGAAUACUAUUAAAAACAUUUAGU
rnacentral:sRNA from 1 species